CAAAACAUAGCUAGGGAGUAAGCUUCUCUUUUACACGGAGUUAAGGUUCGUGCAACUCGAACUGUUUUGAAUACUUGUCUUUAGGCUUAAAGAGUUUGUG
rnacentral:tRNA from 1 species